UUCCCCAACCGUCAUUAACCAGACCUGCAUUUCAGCUAGAAUACCUUUGCUGAGCUCCYGGGUGAGCCAGGCCCGGACGCCUCCUGCGCUUUGGCCAAGUCUGGCACCCACAUGGGGUUUGCCAGUGUCCUGCUUCUCUGCAAGUGGGUCGGAACGUGUGUGUAUCCCAUUAACUCUAUCCUCGCUGCUCUCAAGAUGUUCCGCACAGAUGAUUUUAUUUUUUUUGUAAGAAAAUAUAUUUUACUAGGCAGUUUUAUGAGAGCUGACAAAAUGCCUCGUAAAUAACCCAGCAGGAAAUAUGGGGUAAAUAAAAU
rnacentral:lncRNA from 1 species